rnacentral:tRNA from 1 species
GGAGCCGGCCUCAGGAUCCGGCGAAUGCGGAAGGGGACUACACACUUUUAAUGUAGGGGUCCCGGGUUCGAGUCCCGGUCGCGCCACCA